GGAGCCUAUAGCUCAGUGGUAGAGCAUUCGACUGCAGAUCGAGAGGUCGCCGGAUCCAGCCCGGUUGGGUCCU